GAUGAACGCUGGCGGCGUGCUUAACACAUGCAAGUCGAACGGUGAAGGCGGAGCUUGCUCUGCUGGAUCAGUGGCGAACGGGUGAGUAGCACGUGAGCAAUCUGCCCCUGACUCUGGGAUAAGCGCUGGAAACGGCGUCUAAUACUGGAUACGAGCUGCGAAGGCAUCUUCAGCAGCUGGAAAGAAUUUCGGUCAGGGAUGAGCUCGCGGCCUAUCAGCUUGUUGGUGAGGUAAUGGCUCACCAAGGCGUCGACGGGUAGCCGGCCUGAGAGGGUGACCGGCCACACUGGGACUGAGACACGGCCCAGACUCCUACGGGAGGCAGCAGUGGGGAAUACUGCACAAUGGGCGAAAGCCUGAUGCAGCAACGCCGCGUGAGGGACGACGGCCUUCGGGUUGUAAACCUCUUUUAGCAGGGAAGAAGCGAAAGUGACGGUACCUGCAGAAAAAGCGCCGGCUAACUACGUG
rnacentral:rRNA from 1 species